GGGGUAUGGAGAAUUGGAGGACUGGGGGUUGUGGGGAGCUGAAUGGGAGGAAUGAAGGUCAGCUUCAUGGACACAUGACCUGUGAGGUCACAUAGGACCCAGGGCUUAGAAGGGCUCCACUUGGCUUAAUGUUCUACUGCCAUAAUCUUAACAUUCUUAAUAAUUGUUGAGCAAAAGCCCCUGUAUUUUUAUUGCACUUGGUCCAACCAACUAUGUAGCUGGUCCUGGGAGGGAUUUUCUGGGCUUUCUAGAAAACAGAGCCUUAGUCAAAAGUGUACGUGCUCCCAUUUUAUUGAGGAGUAUGACUCCAGAGACACAGGAGUGAGUCGAAAAGGAAUCCCAAAUUAGGUAUGGAAAGAAGAGGAGAAAACACAGGGGAAGUGGAACAGAACUGGCCUUUAUUUGACAGCAAUUGCAACUGAUGCCUUGAUCUCCCAGGAUGUUUUCUAAGAGGCCAUCUAAGUACCUCAUUUCACAUGUAUCUGUUUAUUGGUGAUUGGAAAAGAAAAUAAUUUAUCCUCAGCUUCUUCCUCUUCUCCAUCUUCCAUUGGUCAAAAUCCACCAUGAGCUGUUAACUCCUCCUUUUUCCAAGAGAGAGGGUGACUGAGAGCUG
rnacentral:lncRNA from 10 species